AUGUCGCACGCGCACCCUGCGGUUCCGAGCGUGCCGUCCACACUCACCUGACGACUGCCGGCCAGGUUUUUAGCC
rnacentral:sRNA from 1 species